UGGGUUGUCCUUUAGUCAGGAGUGACGACAGCGUGCUGUUCGUAUUCGAGGACGAUUGAACAAACGAGGCUAACCCUCGCAACUAGCUAAAAAAUCAACAAAAACAUUUAAAUUUAGUCGCUAUAUCUUGAAAACGUUACCCGCGAUCUUUUUGGUGGCGUUUGUGUCUUUGUUCGUAUAAUUUUUUGGGAAACAGGCAGCCUUCACGCGACCUGCCUUUGGCAGCUCAACACUAUGGCUGAACAAGUAAAUUCUCACUCUGCAAUGGCCGAGGCUCGCCACACCGAUGGCCUCAAUGUGAUCUUUGACCAGAAAAGCCCCGGAUCUUCUUCCCAUUCCCGGUCCCGGUCGAGGAGCAGCAGCAGUUCCAGCAGCCGCAGGAGCCGCUCUUCUGGUUCUGGUCACUACAAGAGACGAGGAAGACGGGACAGAUCUUCAUCUUCAUCUUCCUCCCGUUCAUCCUCGAGGAGCCGGUCCUCGUCUCGGUCCAGGUCUCGGUCUAGGUCUCGGUCUCAUCCCCGCUGCCGCCGACGCUCAUCUCGCUGUCGCUGUGAUGAACACAGAAGAUCUGGCCGGCGCCUCUACCGUCGCUCCCCAUCACGUCGCUACAGAGCCCAUUCCCGCUCCUACAGCCGAUCCCCAACACCAGACAGAUACUACCGCCGUCGCAGAUAUUCAAGAUCCCGCUCCAGGUCUUCAGGUCGCUGGAGUCGCUACAGGAGACCAGUUGGCCAGUUUAGAAGCAGGUUCACUCUAUCUCCAUCCCCGCCAAGAUUUUACAGGCGCAGAUCCAGAUCCAGGAGUCCGGUGCGCUCUGUCAGUUUAAGCCUUGACGAUAAAAGGAAACUGCUUGAAGCUGCUAAGGCUAACGCCAUGAGGAUCCUUGGGGUGGAGAAGAUAGAGCUUCCUGAGAGUGUGAAACCCAUCCUAUCAGAGGAACCAGAGCCCAGACCACUGUCACCAGAACCACUGGUCAGGAGGAGGCAAGGUUCUGAAAGGACUGGACCUCAGAUAACAUGACGGUGAUCUUCACUCACCGGCACCUGGGAUAAAAAGGCGUUCAUGUGACUUGGGUGACAAAAGUAUUUGUUUGCCUAAAGGUUAUCUGAUGAAUUAUGUAACUUUUUAAGUCAUCAGUUCAGUUUAAUAACACAUUACUCUUAUCUGCAGUCUACACCGUUGUUAUUUUAGGUUAUGUGAAAGAAAAAGUACAGAUUAAGAACUUAAAAACAGAUUUUUAAAUUCCGUUCAAAUGGUAGGAGAGAGCCACAGUUAUACAGAUAUGUAGAACUUUGUCUCUUCAAAUGUAUUUAUGCUUGCAGAUGAAAUUGGUAUUUAUUUAACAGAGAUCUCCGUCCGCUGAUGGGGCACAGGUGUGUGGACUUCAUAAUAGUGACUAUACCUGUCAAGAGAACUAUAAAACAGGAACACCUCUCCGUUUGUCACAGAUAAGUUGGUACACAGAUGUGUGCUACAGGGACGGGGAACCCGCAUCCCUUUGUUUGCUUUACUUUUGUGUGAAUUUCUGCCAUCUUUGGUAGAAUUUAUUUUUCCUUUCCUUUGUCUGCAAAUGUCAUUUAAUUGGGAGCAGAUUGUAAGCUCCUGUUAUAACUGAUCUGUGUGGAUACUGCUCCUUUCUGCCCUUAAUUCACCUUUUAUUUUUUCCCUUUUUGAAUCUAGGACAUUGAGGUGGAGCCUGAAGUGUCCAGCCCGAGACCGUCUUCUAAAGGGCAAAUUGCCUUCAGCUUGAAUAAUUCUGUGGCCAAACCAACUGCAGCUGCUCCAUCUCCUGCUAAGCUAACGUCGAGAGUGGACAGCUAUGAAAGCAGGAAGCCCUACGGCAGCUGGAUUCCAAUCGGUUCGGGCCAAAGUGCACGCAAAUGAGCUUAGAGCCACAACAGUGUAGCUGCAUGGACGUGUAAAUGUUGUAAAUAGUUUGUACAUAUAAUGAAGCAUUGUUUCGUGGUCAUUUUUUCUUUCAGAUAUGAACAUUUUAAAUGAGAAGAGGUGAACAAUUCAGGUGGGAAAUUUUCCUCUUGUAUACAUCGUGCGUAUUUAUUUGUCCAAUAAAAUAUUUUCUUGAUAAAG